AAGUCGUAACAAGGUUUCCGUAGGUGAACCUGCGGAAGGAUCAUUACUGAGGUUACCGGGAGCGAGUUGCGGAGCAUCAAGUGCUGGCGUCCUUUCAUCGGGGCGCAUGUGCACAGUUCUCCCUCUCGCUUUCGUUCCUUCUAUCAACCCCUGUGCACAUAAUAGGAUUAGAGAGAAGCGCGCUGUUCUGUUGGAGGUCAAGUCAGUAGCUGUGGGUUCGCCCUGGCGAAAGCUCGAUCUGUGAUCGGCUGUGCGUGGUAUCUCGACGCCUUAUUUUAUCAACCACUAUACAUGUCUUGUCAGAAUGUUCAGUCCCUCGUUGGACGCUAAAUGAAGUACAACUUUCAACAACGGAUCUCUUGGCUCUC
rnacentral:misc_RNA from 1 species